UUGCUGACCGUCCAACGCUUCUGCUAGGCAACAUUAUUUUGUCGAAUUGCAGAGACAUUGUCUUGGCGCGGUAUGGUGAGCACUGGAGGCAGUUUCGAAAAAUCUGUACCUUGGAGCUCUUGAGUGCUAAUAAAGUGAAAUCUUUUAGAAAUAUAAGGGAAGAGGAGGCGCGGGACCUUAUCCAAUCCAUUCAAUCAGCGUCAGGGUCUGCGGUUAAUGUGAGCGAGAAGGUCUCUAAUUUGGCAAACUCGAUAACUUGCAGGUCUACAAUUGGAAAGAGAUGCAAGUACCAACAUGAACUCAUUGAGGCUACGGAGAAUAUAGCUUACUGGGGCGCGGGUUUUUUUAUGGCUGAUUUGUUUCCUUCUGCGCUGGUUUUUCCAGUUCUGAGUGGAAUGAAGCCUGCACUUAAGAAGGUUCGUCGAGAGCUUGAUCAUAUAUUUGAUUACAUAAUAAAUGAACAUAAGGAGAAGUUGGCUAGUAGGAAGAAUCAAGGAACCAAGCUUGAGGCAGAGGAUGAAGACCUUGUUGAUAUUUUGUUGAGGAUUAACGACAGUCUGCAACUCGAAUUUCCUGUCACUUCCAACGACAUCCAAGGCAUCGUUUUGGUUAGUAAUGCCAUUUCCUAUUUUGAAUUGUUAUAGUUCUUUAAAUUUUGUUCAUUUAUUCUGUAUAAAUCUUUUAGCUUACGGUUCUUAUUAAUGUUAACAGGAUAUGUUCACCGCGGGGACUGACACGUCUUCAGCAGUGCUAGAAUGGGCAAUGUCAGAGCUGAUGAAAAAGCCAAGCGCGAUGAAAAAGGCACAAGAUGAGCUGAGAACCGCCUUAAAAGGAAAGGAAAGUAUCCGCGAAACUGAUAUCCAAGGCUUGAGUUAUCUAAAGCUAGUGAUCAAGGAAACGCUACGCUUACAUCCCCCGGUUCCCCUGCUACUCCCUAGAGAAUGCAGAAAAGAAUGCGAAAUUGAUGGAUAUACUAUUCCAGUUGGGACCAAAGUCAUGGUAAAUGCGUGGGCUAUUGGAAGAGACCCCGGGCAAUGGGUUGAUGCUGACAGUUUCAUUCCUGAAAGAUUUGAUGGAAGCUCAGUUGAUUACAUUGGAGCCAACUUCGAGUUUAUUCCUUUUGGUGCUGGACGAAGGAUGUGCGCAGGAAUCUCGUUCGGGAUUGCUAGCAUUGAGCUUCCUCUGGCGCAGCUGCUCUAUCACUUCGACUGGACUCUUCCUGAUGGAAUGAAGCCGGAGGAUUUGGACAUGGAUGAAACUUUUGGAGCUACUACGAAACGAAAGAACAGCUUGUUUUUGAAUGCCAGUCCUCACAUUUCUAGCAUCGAAGAGUGACCAAAGAAGUCGAUAUCACCCUUUCAUGAUUGGAUUGUUUUUACUGGAGAGCCGAGAGGGUUUGUUUAUGUUGUCUAAGGACAUGCAGUCUUUUAGAACUCUUUAAUUGAUUAAACGUGUGCGCGCCCGCCAAAGAUUUGUAAUUGUUUCUGAUUCUGUUAAAGAAAUAGAUGAGUAUAGAUAUUUUUGGUAUGUUAAAGUUCAACGUGCCAAGAUCAUCUCUUAACGGUGUUAACUAUACUCGUGGGCUAAACUGGACAUGUAGGAUAUUAGGUAAAAUUUACUGAACCAUGAAAGACAUUUAAAUUUAAUGGUAUUAGCUAUAUUGAGUAUUUAUAAUUUAAAAAAAAUAUAUUAUUAAUAUUUAAAUUCUUAUAAAUAGAAUAUAUCAGUUUAAUAUGAUAAUAAAUAAAAUGUAAUCUUUCUACAGAUUUUUUAUAAAUCUAUAUAGGUUUGAAAAAUAUAAUCUAUUCAUAGGAGGUUGGCUAUAAUUAUAGCUAAAGGGUGGGUGUGGUUGAAGUGUGUUUUUUUUUUAUGCCAAAUCGGUUUUUAGCUAAAGGCUCUUCAUGGUUGAAGAUGCUCUAACACAUGUAUUACCUAAAAUUUUAAAUUACUUAGAAUCUGCUGUUACAGAAAGCCUCUCCCUUACGAACCUUAUAUUCUCUCUGCCCUUGAAGUAGCUUUCAUCGAUUUUCCCUGGUGGAAAGUCCCAAACUCUUUUAUCUGUAUUUUUCGAUUUGUUUCCUUCAAUAAUCUUUCUCUUUGAAGAAGAAUUUCUAUCUUUUUGAUCAGGUUUGGCUUGUUUUUCUGGAUCUAUAUCAUAAGAGUUUUCGAUUUACUUUUUAUUCUAUGCGAGCGGAGCUUAUCGGAUUGGAGAGUUUAUCGUCUAUCUUGUGACUUCGACUAUUAGAUCUAAUUUUUUCUUUUUUUUUGAUUUCUUUUCAGUUUGCUAAUUUUAUUUCGUUUUUCGACUUGUACUUUCAGGUAUCUUCUCUUCCUAGUGAGAGUUCUGUUUUCGCUUCUUAAUUGUAAGCGGGAGUCUUAUAUUGAUGAUGAAAUUUUGUAUGAAAUCGCAAUUCUGAUCGAUAACUCAAACGAGAGCUCUAUAUCGUUUAUCUGUGUGUUUAUAAAAACAGGCGAUUGCAAUUUACUAGUUAUUUGUUCGACUUGAUCAUUCGUCUAGAUGUCCUAUAUUUUUUUGUUAUUAGAUUAACACUUUUGUGUCAAAAAAAGAAUCUGCUGUUACUAUUCAAGAUUGAAAUACUUCAACUGAUCUUUAGCAAGAUUUGCAAUAAUUUUAUCUUUGAGUCGGACUUGAUCCUUAAUUUUAAAAAUCUCAGGCGAUUAACAAACAUGCAUAAACACUAUUACAACCCUUAACAUUAAUCGAUUAUUUACCAACCCUUAGAAAGUAGGGAAUUGCAAAUUAAAAUUGUCAUUAGAGCAUCUCCAACCGCGUUGGCUAUAAUCGCUGGCUAAAUUGGACCUGUAAGACAUUAUGUAAAAUUUGCUGAACCUGUAAGACAUUUUGCUUCAAUGGUACUGGCUAUAUUGGUUCGCUAUAAUUUAAAAAUAGUAUGUUAUUAAUAUUUUAAAUUGUUAAAAUAGAAUAUAUCAGUUCAAUAUGGUAAUAGAUGAUGUACAAUCUUCCUACAGAUUUUCUUACAGACCUGUAGAGGUUCGACAAAUUUAGCCAUCCAUAGGAGGUUGGCUAAAUAUAUAGACAACAGAUGAGCAUGGUUGGAGUUGAGUUUUUGGAGCUGUUGGCUAAAAUUUUUUAUUUUAGGUAUGCCAACUCACCUUUUAUCCAAGGGUUUUAGAUGGUUGGAGAUGCUCUUAGCAAACAUAAAAGAACCAAAUUUUCAGUUAUUAAACAAAUCUGAAUCGAGUUUUUAAUGUAAUUUAUGGUAAUAUAUUAAUUGUUGAAUUUUUAAUUUAUGUUAAUAGUGCACCCAAUCUUCAUAUAAUCUAUUUGAAAAUGGUAAAAUUAAUGUACAAUAUGUAUCAUCGAUGUAUAUAUAAUUUGUAUUUUGAGAUCUCAAUACGUAUCAUUAAUGUGGAAGGAUUUCAAAGAUCUCAAAAUACAUAGAAACAAUUUGAAUAAUAUAUUAUAUGGACUUGUAAGAUGGUAAUAAUGAUUUAAUCUUUUUAUUUAAGGAAGUACAAUUAAAAAAAUCGUGUGAUUGAUGUGUAUAUAUACGUAUUUUUAAAAUAUAAUAUACUACCACUCGAGUUUAACAAAGAGAAUAUUAGCAUGUAUGUAUAAAAUAUAGACAACAAGAUCAAAAGAGAAUCAAUAAUAGAGAUCAGGGUAUGACAAACCGGGUCAAAUUCCAAGUUUUUCCGAAAAUCGGGUCAAGUCCCGAAUUCCGAAUCUGAAAAUAAGCCGAAAAUAAACUGAAUUAACUGCAACAACUUGGGUAAAUCACAAGCCCACCACAGGCCCCCCAAAAGAUCAUGAUUUGUUGGUGCAAUUGGUAGUAGCCCAUACGCCCAUAUCGCACCUAUCUAGCUAUUGUGGUACCGGCUGGCUUCGUGUCCCGUCUCUGGAUCUCUAUUCAUUGCGGGAUAAUAUCACCAGCCUUCGUGUCCCCACCUUUGGCAACUUGACUAAUCAAGUUUUCGAGAGCUGGCUUUGAAUACCAUAUGUGACAACCUGGAUCAAAUCCCGAGUUUUUUCCAAAAAUCGGGUCAAGUCCCGAAUUUCGAAUUCGAAAAUAAACCGAAAAUAAACUGCCCCAACUGUAGCGACUUGGGUAAAUCACAAGUCCACCACAGGUCCCUAAAAGAUCAUGAUUUGUUGGUGUAAUUGGUAGUAGUAGUACUUAUGCUUAUAAACUGAACUAAAGUCUCCACACUUCUCAAUGUGGGACUAGGGUGUUACAAUCGUGUCUCAGUUCUCUUGUUAGUUUCCUGUCUCUUUGAACAUCUCCCUAUUUUUAUGUAUUCAUUAUGGUAUAUAUUUUAUAUAUAAUUUAUAAUUUAUUAUUCAUAGUUUUUUUAUAUUAUACAUCGUGAUAUAUAUUAUUUAAUAUUUAAAAUUUUUUAUUUUUCUUUAGCAUUAUACAAUGUUCAAGUUAUCAUAGUCAGUAAAUAUGAAAUUUGAAAUGAUCUAUUUAAUGUUGUAUAUUAAAUUGUUGAUGUCUCAAUUAAUCGAUUGUUAAUUUGGUAUGCAAUAACUUUUAAUAUAUUUGAAAAAUUUAUUAAAUACGAUUAAUUUAAAAAAAUUUGAUCCACUAUUUCCAUCUCAUAGUUCAAGCAUAAGUAUAUUUUAUAUAGGGUUAUUAUAACCGAUAAAUUAAACCAUUGUCAAUAAUGAUAAUUAAUAUGGUUUAAGUGUAUAUUUUUGUAUAUUAAACAAUCCAAUAAUCCUAAUUUUGAAAAAAACACACUUAAUUAUCAUAAUUUAGACAUGUUUAUAAUCUUAUUAUUUUUAAUUUGUUUUAAGAUAUCCGAUUGAAAUCCCAAUCUGAUUCGAGACCCGGAAAAACCUGACGAUUUGGAUUUGGAUUUACCGUUUAAUAUCUCAAUCCGAAUCCAAUCCGACCCCAAAUAUAAUGAAUUAGAUAUGAAUUUCAUGAAAUCCAAACAAAUCCGACAUGAUUAGUAUCCCUACACAUAUGUUAUAACGAUGAUUCAAUAUUUAUACAAGUGAGCCGUCAAGAGUCAAGGCUCGCAUAUUCUAUUCUGUUUUGAGGAGCAACCACUUACGACUGUCAAAUUCUUCCAUAUAUCUGAGAACAGAAAUUUGGGCAGUCAAUAUAGAACCUUCACAAUAGUAAUAAAACAAAUGUUUUCAAGUGCACUUUGAAGAAAUAUAAUCUGACUAUCAUAUAUGAGAAAACAACUGAACUGAAAACUAAAACUAUGGUGGGUUGGUUGUGACCAAGGAGCCGCCGUCCGCCCAUGCGAAAAGUUUGGAAAAUGUGUGCAUGCUUCAUACUGAAGUUUUGCGUACAUCUUCGCCGAAUACUACCUCUUCCAGCUAUGUAUAUACGUAGUCAUUACGUUGGUACAACUGUUCUGUAUUUUUUUUUGAAGGAACUGUUCUGUAUUUAAUUACACCCAAAACAAGUGCAAUGCUAUUUAAAGAAAAUAGCAGGGUUCUUAAUGCAAAGUAAUCCUGAAAAAUUUAAUUAAUAAUUAAAAAAGUGUGAUACCUGAAAAAUGGAUUAAUUUUGGAAUAAGAUAUAGUACCAAAUAUGGGAGAAAUAUUGUUAAUUUAGUAUCAAAAAUUAUUUUUUGAUUUCAAAUUAUAAUAAUAAUCUAUUUUAACAUAAUUAUUAGACUUGUUCUAACUAAUUAAAUAAAAUAAUAUAUAUUAUUAUCCGGUGACUGAACCAUCAAUUGAAAAGAAAUACGAUAUCAUAAUUUUUUUCACUAAGUAUUCAAAUUUAGGGGUGUAAUCAUCGAGCCGUGCCGAGUCGAACAGUACUGCCACGCUCGGCUCGAGCUCGACUAAGAAGUUCGGGUUCAACUCGAGCACGAGUUUGACCGAGUCUUUAAUUUUAAGUUCGAAGCUCGGCUCGUCAAAGUUCGAUAGGCUCGAGUUCGACUCGAAAGCUCGAAUGAUGUCAUCAAAUAUUAACAAAAACUUGAAACAUGAUCGGGUUCGACUCAAGUUCGAUCCGAUUAAAUAUAUAAAAAGAUAUAAAAAUUAAAUAUUUUAUGUAGUAAUUUGGAAAUAAUAUAAAAAUAACUAUAAUAAUACAUGCUCAAUUAGGCUCGCGAAACUCACGAACUGAGUAAUAUGAAGCUCGAACUCGGCUCGGUAAAUUAUUUGAAUAGCUCGAGUUCGAGUUCGAGUUUGACUCAAUUAUUUUCGAGCUGAAUUCAAAAAUUUUACGAGCCGAGCUCGAGCAUCUCACGAACUAUUCGACCCAUUUACACCCGUGUUCAAAUUCAACCAGGUUCAACUAAUCACCGAAUUUUGAAAACAACAUAUGACUUUAUCAUACGAUUUUUCAUUUUUGAACUGGAACAUGAUUUUAAUAUAGGCUAGUCUUCUUGAUUCCACCCUUUUUAUAAUAAAACACAGAAAGAAAGACCAGGACUUUCAACGCUUCCUCAAAAUAAAUUAAAAAACUAAAUCAUCCUUUUCAUGUUUAAAAUUUAUACAACGAUUUCUGCACCAGUUUAACUCUCCUUCCUUGCGUAUUCAGGAGCCACCAGCACGUACGCGGAACGGCUGAAGCCUAUAAAUUGAACAUGCACUGCGCCAAAAAUAAUAUCAUCAACCACAUUUCAAAUCGCAACAUCAAAACAAGAAAAAAAAAAUCAUAUUAUCUAGGUACCAAAUGGCUAUCCAGAUUGUCCCCAUUCUUACGUUCAUGGUCAUUUCUUUCAUGCUUCUCAAUCUCCUGAAAAAAUUGUUCCGAAAAUCGAAGAAACUCCCUCCAGGGCCAUUCAGGCUUCCCAUACUAGGCAACUUGUUACAAGUCACUGGCGCACUCCCUCACCGCAGUCUCUACAAUUUAUCGAAAACUCACGGCCCCCUCAUGCACCUCCAGCUCGGUGAGGUCUCUGCUGUCGUUGUAUCGAACCCGAGAGUCGCUAAAGAAGUUCUCAAGACUCAUGACCUCUGUUUUGCUGACCGGCCAACGCUUCUGCUUGGCAACAUUAUUUUGUCGAAUUGCAGAGACAUUGUCUUGGCGCGGUAUGGUGAACACUGGAGACAGUUUCGAAAAAUCUGUACCUUGGAGCUUCUGAGUGCUAAUAAAGUGAAAUCUUUUAGAAAUAUAAGGGAAGAGGAGGCGCGGGACCUUAUUCAAUCCAUUCAAUCAGCGUCAGGGUCUGCGGUUAAUGUGAGCGAGAAGGUCUCUAAUUUGGCAAACUCGAUAACUUGCAGGUCUACAAUUGGAAAGAGAUGCAAGUACCAACAUGAAC
rnacentral:lncRNA from 1 species